rnacentral:lncRNA from 10 species
UCUCCUGCCUCAGCCUCCCGUGUAGCUGGGACUACAGGCGUGCGCCACCAUGCCCAGCUAAUUUUUGUAUUUUUAGUAGAGACGGGGUUUCACCAUGUUAGCUAGGAUGGUCUCGAUCUCCUGACCUCGUGAUCCGCCCGUCUCGGCCUCCCAAAGUGAGAAUCUUUAAUGCAUUAUACAAAAAGGAAAAUGUGAUCCUAGUAGCAUAACUAAAUGGUUCAGUCAGAGUUUUGCAAUAAUUCAACAAAAUGUUUAAUUUUGAUAGUCACUUAAACUAAUCUUUUCUUUAUAAGAAAUACAUAUACACAUAUCAAAGAAAUGAUACUAUCAGGGCUUCAGUAACAUUUUUAAUGUAGGAAAGAAUUUCAGACACAGAGUUAGAAUUCAGUGGGCUGCCUGAAGUUUUCUUUCCUAACCAACACUUCUUGAGCUCAGCCAAUGGGAGGAAGAGUUAUGUUAUCAAAGGAAUAUAACUUUUCAAAUUCUGGUGAGGCCACUAAAAGAUAAGGGAAAGGGGGAAAAAUAAUAACACACUGGUUUCAUAUGAAACAUAUGAAACCACGUUUCAAUGUAGCCAAAAUGAGCCCCUUCACCAAGAUGUGGGUUGGGGGAACCCCAGCACCUUUGGCAAGUGUUUUAGAGGCUGUUCUCUGCAGGCCAGUGUGGGACAAAGCAUUAGGUUGGUGCAAAAGUAAUUGUGUUUUUUGCCAUUGAAAGUAAUAGCAAAACCCGCUAUUACUUUUGCAACAACCUAAUAGAAAUGCCUGAGGAUUUCAGUGCAGGAGGGAAGGUGCUGGGGUGGCUCAGGCCACAGAUUGAAAGUUUGGCAGCUGGGGCAGAGUGGUCCUGAAGAGAGCACAGUAGGCAAGAAGUCAGCAGGAUAAUCAGAAUGGAAUGGCCACUGAGGUCUUUAGUGGUGGUGAAGUGCUCAUAGUCUGGCUAGAGCCAAAGUACACGGGCAGCCCAAGAUGGGCUUGAUUGCUUUGGGCCAGGAUCUAAUGAAUUUCCAUUGACACGAUAGUAGAGAAACCCUGAGUGUCUUACCUGAUUUCUGACUCUUGUCAUCUUUUUAUAUCUUAGUUAUGCUUACCACAUAGAAUUGGGUAGAGAUUGAUUGAGAUUUGAGUAAAGCGUAUUACAGUGCCUAACAUAUAGUAGCCACACAUUAGAUUAUUACUAUGUGAGUUUGUCCCAGUUGAAAGUGCUUUCUGAGUGGUCGUCUUUAUGAGGGGGAAGUUGAUGACUCCUACAUAACAUGGCUGGGGAUGAACAAAGGAGCAAAAUGUGCCAGAUUGCCCGACAAUGGUAAUCUGCUGGAGUUCAGUAAGACAAACAAAUAGCUCAGAGACCAGGGGAUAUUCUAACAGCUGCACCAAAUUAAGCCCAAUUCCCCCUUCUGUACUCUCUGUGUUCCAUCAUGAGUUCAGAAAGAUAAACUCUGAGACCAAUUCAGUUUGCUCUCUAUAGUAAACAUGUGUGACCAUUACUUGGGCUAAAGUUUCUAUUGGCCCUUUGGCUUAGGUCCUAGAAUGUCUGACUUAGCUCUAGGGUCUCAGGUAACCACAGAUUUUUAAAGCUCUGGUUUGGGGAUGACCCAAGGGGCCAAUGGUAAGCUUGCUAAAUCUGUGUGUCAGGGGAAAAAACAAAAGAUUAUGCUUACAUUUCUUGUCUUUGGUGUGUGUGUUUGCUGUUUCUUCUUGUGGGGUACCCCUUUUAUUUUUUUCUCUCUCUGCAUCUGAAGUGUAGAUAUUCUUCUACAUGUUAUAUCUAAGUAAUAGAAUCAGGAACUGUAAAACUACCUAAUCAAAGAAUGAAGAGAAAGUAGAGGUCCUAACCCGUAUCUUGUCCUAGCCUGUAUUUUAUAGCCUGGGCUAAAUUUUACUAAACAGAAUUGUUCCUAAGGAAAACAUUUUUUUUUUUUUUUUAAGGAAUCUCCAAAUUUGCCUACUUAAAAUGGAGUGCCCCGUUGAAUGUGGCUUUUUGAAUGAAGAAAUGCAGAGAAGUGAAUUUUACUGCAAUGAUGAAUCAGCACAAUUAUUUGCAUAUGAAUUUUAUGUUGCUGCCAAUUCCUCUUUAAUUAUGAUUGUAUGACUCAUCAAUCCAUGGCUGUAUGACUGAUUGGAGCCCUCCCUACUUGCAAUGGUCAAGCUAAUAUGGGUCCUAGAUAGGUAAAAUUGAAAUUCAUGGAAAAAGCCCCAAACAGUAAAUAAAGUUGGAAACUGAUUCUAAGGGCAAGAGUUCUUCCCUUUUUCCUAACACACAUCAAUCUUACACUGAAGUCUGGAUUCAAGUUCACUGUAGCAAAUUACCAUCAAUCAAGAAAGAGAGAGAAGUCAGAACACAGUGAGGGUCCAUUGACCAGAGAGGAAUCCCACAAUGUAUUGAGUUUAUACCCACAUUUGUUCUUAAUAAGAAAACUGUAAUCACAGGAUAAACAGAAACAGAGGCAGUGAUUCUUUUUGGUAAUAUCUCCCAAAUGCUUUUCUUAUUUUCUAAAACAUGAAUACUAAGCACACAGCCAGUGUGAAGUACAUUGUAACAUAUAAGAGCUAAAAUUCAAAUGGGUCUCUUCCAAUAUUUUUAUCAUUGAAGAACUUCAUUACUACAAAUCAUGCAUGCCAUUUAACCAAAACUAUUUUAGAAAGUAGUAUAUAAUUGCUAGUUACCAACAACUGGGCACCAUGAAUACACAGAGGUUAUUUUAUCAGUGGAUAAACAGCUUCAGUUUAAGCAAAGAUUUUGGGAAAAAAAAAACCAGAUGUCUUAGUAUAAAUCAAGAGAUCCAUGAUUCUUUAAGUAAACACAGUGCCCUAAAUCCAUCAUUUAUAUUGGUGUAACCAGCAUUCCAGAAACACAUAUCAUAAAUGAACGAGCCUCUCACACAACCCUGUACUCUGAGAAGCCAGAAGGUUUAAUCCCCAAAUAGAUUAAACUAGACAGAUGGGUAAAACUGUUUACAGUGUUCCCAGAAUGGCUGUUUUUGUGACAUGCCUCAAAGAGGACACAGAUGCAUAUGACCCAUUUUAAUUUUCCUUCUCUAAGCCUCUCUGCUUUACUGAGCCAAGCAUGGUUCAGAAGCAGGUCUGAAUAAGUCAGGAAUGCAUGAGUUCCAAAGAGUCCCAUUUAGGACCUGAGAGAAAUAAAGAUCAGGCAACGAAUCCUGAGUAAGCUAUCCCCAAAUCAAAUAAACAUGUUCUUCAUUUGGAGAUUAUGCCAUGAUAUAAAUGUCACACACACUUUCAAUCCCAGUUAAUUUAUGGUUCUUUCCUUUUCUUUUCUUUUCCUUUUUUUUUUUUUUUUUUUUUUUUUUGAGAUGGAGUCUCAGUCUGUCACCCAGGCUGGAGUGCAGUGGCGCAAUCUUGGCUCACUGCAACCUCCGCCUUCCAGGUUCAAGCAAUUCUCCUGCCUCAGCCUCCCGAGUAGCUGGGACUACAGGUGCCUAGCUAAUUUUUUGUAUUUUAGUAGAGAUGGGGUUUCACCGUGUUGUGCUGGUUAUUUCUAAUGUCAUUUUUUAGAUAAAUGAGAUAAGCUCAGAGUAUCUUUCAAAAUUCAUUGUCCCAACUAUCAACCCCUUACCUGUUCCUCUAGACUUUCAGUGAUAUGUUUUGCACUAGCAGAGGGCAGAACCCAUCCAUCACUCCCCAUGAUCAACAGUUACAGUAUGUGCCUCUUUUAUUUUCCUGGAAAAUGCUAGAUCAUGCCAGAAGUAUGGCUUUAAAAGUGUAUUAAACUGUAUUGAUAAAACCGUAAACUAGUUGCAAGAAGAAGGCACUCAAGUGAAAAUGUCAAGUUCAAAUGAUAGUCUACAAGCAGGACAGCUUUCAAAUCCCAUUAUGACUCUCCACAUCCCUAUUCCAAAAGAGGGACUGGAAUUGGUCAUUAUUCUGAUUGGGAAAUAGAUAUCAGAGAAUAGGAGGGCUUCUCUACCACAGGGCUGCAGUUGGCUCUUGUGUAAGCUUCCACCCCUGGCCGCCUCUCACUCCCUCCUCACCCACCCACUGGGAUCCCCUUCACACACUCCUUCUUCCCCCAUUAAUAGACACACUCAUACCCCUUUACACUCUGUCUUUAGAGAUUUGCUAUAUCCUAAGGUAUAAAAUCAAGAAUAACUCAAAUUCCACUGAUAGAAAUGUAGCAUCUGCAUUUUAGUUGCAAUGCUGCAAGAAGCAGGGGUUUCUCUCCCUUAAAGAUUUGUAUGGUUUGAAAUGAAUAAAAGAUAAGGCUAUGAACAUAGCACAGGGUUCAGAAGAUUAGUAUGCAUGUAGCUGUUUAUUCCCUCCAAGGCUAAACAGCUAAAGUCAUUUCCUUCCAAAUGAAGGUAUUUUAGGACAUUUUUAUUCAGCGUUCAGAAUUUAAACUCAUGCCCUCCUUAAAUGGCCCAGCUUGCUACUUCAGUUCCAUUUAACCUUCCUACCCUUCCUCACAUUUCCAAAAGAAGAAAUUUAAAAAUAAUAAACUGCACCUAAAGGGCCAUAAUCUAGUUCAUUAAAUCAUUCCAACAAACAAUAGUCCUAAGCAUACAAGUUAUAUAACCAUGUUUUGUUUAAGAAAAUGAAUAUUAUAUAAUUUGAUAUUUCUUUUUUUUUUUUUUUGGCCAAAUAGGACUACCAUGAUGUAUAGGUUCUAAAGCCAAAAAUAUGAAACUUAUUUGAUGGAAAAGUUAACAUACCAAGUUUUUAUCUAAGGUGAAGUCCAUUCAGAUUUACAAGGCUAUAAAUUAUCUAGCUAUAUUCAAGUGACAUAUUUUAGAUUUAUCUUUUUGAUAAAUAAAGAGUCCUUUGUGGGCAGAGAGAAAUGUAAUACAAAACAACUCUGCCAAAACUGCCUUCCUUCUUUAAGCACUAUACCGGAGCAAAUUCCUCUCUCUUCACCUUCACCAUUAGAUUUACUCUUCCUCCUAUAGCCCCAGAUUUAGCUGUGCUGAUCAGAACUGUGGGCAAUAUUAGCACUGUCUCUCUCUAUGCCACUUCUCAUACCAAAUAAGUACUAAGCCUCAUCUAUUCUAACUCCUACAUCUCUUUCCAGUCCAGCCAUGCCUCCACAUCUCCAUUGCCAUUCUUGCCAUUAUUUCUCAUGUGGAUUACAGCAUAGCCCUCUCCCUUAUUUUUCUGAUCCCUGUUUUGCUGGCUUUGAUCCAUUCUUCCUAGUGUCUGCAGAGUGGCCAUGUGAAACUGCUAAACUGAAUCUGUCCUAAUGCCUAAAAUUUCUCUGCUUCUUGUCUGCUGUAACUCUUCAGAUGAAGUCUCCAGGCCUAAACAGUAUUCAACGGCCUACAAGUCCUGAUUCUUGUCCGUGCCUCUAUCUGCUUUAUUCUGUAGGACAUUGAUCUUUUUUUGCAAUUCUUUGAAUAUAAACUCAUUCUUGAAUAUGCUUCUUUUACUCAAUAAAUACUUCCAAAAUACCCAAGGUGGCCGGGCACGUCCACAAUGUGCCCAGCAUGCCUGUAAUCCUGGAAUUUUGGGAGGCUGAGGCAGGUGGAUCGCUUGAUCUUAGGAGUUCAGGACUGGCCUGGGCAACAUGGUGGAACCCCAACUCUACUAAAAAUUACAAAAAUUAGCUGGGCAUGGUGGUGUGUGCCUGUAGUCCCAGCUACUUGGGAGGCUGAGGUAGGAGAUCGCUCAAGCCCCAGAGGCAGAGGUUGCAGUGAGCUAUCACCACCACUGCAUUCCAGCCUGGGUGACAGAGUGAGACUCUAUCUCGAACAAAUAAACAAACAAAUACCCAUCAUAUGCCAGGUUUUGUGCUAGAUGUUGAGAAACAGGGGUGAACACAGUCUUUCUGACCCUAUGUAUUCCUGCAGUAAUGGGACUUCCUCUAGCAUAGCAUGCCCCAAUCUGAAUUAUAAUUGACAUGAUUUGUCCAUAUCACCAUUAGAAUCUAAGCUCUAUGAUGGAGAGGGAUGGGUUAUGUUUAUUUUGUCGACUCGUGUGUUCUCAGUCCCUAGCAGAAAGCCUGGCACCUAGUAGGGGUUCCAGAAAUUUUUGAGUAAAUUACCAUGUUAUUUAUAACAUAAAUUUACCAGUUGCCUGUUAAUAGAUCUAAAAAGAAUAAUUUCCUGUGCACUUCCCCUCAGCAGAGUAAAUUUCCAACAACAUAUAAUUACACUUUCUCUGGAAAUUUUUAGUCUUUGUAAUUGUCUUAGUUUGAGUUCCCUCAAAAGCAGACCCUGAGACAAAGACUUGGAUUCAGUUAGUUUAUUUGGGAUGAUCCCAGGAAGAACAGGGGAGGUGAUAGGAAAGGCAACUGAGAAGGGAGAAAUCCAAUAAGAGGAGUUUUAACGAGAGGGUAACCCAUGUAGGCAACUGAGGCUCAGAUUUUUUCUGAGGACUCAUAUAGGACAUUCUUAAAACAGUGCCAAUGAGGGACUGAGAUACCAGAUUAUUUAUUCAGUGAAUCUUCUCCCAUAUUGAUUAAGGGAUGCCCUUGGAGGCAUUAAAUUCUUGUCACUUCUAGGCUGCUAUUCACCAGAACUGAGUAAAACUACCAUGGCACUGUAGAAGUCCCCAGGAAAGGAGUGGGAGAUGGAGUAUUGCGGAAUAAUGAGAGAUUUUCAAGAAAUCAGGAUUCUCUGAGGACCAGAUCUAGUUUGGUGAUGACUAAAAGGGCCAUGGACAGGAAAAGAUCAUUUAAAGAUUUCAGAAUGGUCAAGAAAACUAAAGAAAGACUGUGAACAUCUAUGCACGUUUACAAGCUGUCAAUAAACAAGCUGAAGAAUACACCAAAGGCCCAGAUGCUACUUCUGGCAAGGCAGUGAUAAUUCCUCUGUCUUCCAAAAAAGAGAAGAACUUCUAGAAACCUAUGAGGAGGGGAGGAAAACAUGUGUUCCUACUCCAUAUACUUACCUAACUUCCCUAGCUCUAAUUAAUUCAUAAAGCAUACCUUUUUAUAAAAGAGGCUUAAUCAUAGAUUUCCUUGAAGAAAAAAAUGUAUGCAUAUAAAAAUUUGAAGAAGAUUUUCUCCUUAUAUGAAAGUAAUAAGUGCUUAUAUAAUUAUCAUAAAUAAAAAAGGAAUAAUAAUCUGUUUACACAGAAAUAAAAUAUUCUUUUUUUUUUUUUUUUUUGAGGCAGGGUCUCACUCUGUCUGCCAGGCUGGAGUGCAGGGAUGCUAGUUCCGCUCACUGCAGCCUUGACCUCCUCAGGCUCAACUAAUCCUCCUGCCUCAGCCUCCAAAGCAGCUGGGACCACAGGCCCACACCAUCACAUCCGGCUAAGUUUUUAUUUUUUGUAGAGACGGGGUUCCGCCAUGUUGCCCAGGCUGGUCUCUAACUCCUGAUGCACCCGCCUUGGCCUCCCAAAGUGUUGAGAUUACAGGCGUGAGCCACCGCGCCCAGCCUGAAAAUAUUCUGCUACAUGAAACAACAUGAUGUGAGUAGAAAUGUAAGGCACGCAUCUGUAAAACUGAAGAAUAAAAAUACCAACAUACACAAAACGUGAGCACAUGUUUUAGUACAUGUUUUUUCUCUUCGGUCCCUUCUGAAAGUCCACUAAAGUUAUGGUAAAAUAAUAAUAUGAUAAAUAAAUAAAUAAAAGCCCACAAAGAGAAUGAAAAACGAGGUGACAAAAGACAAGAGAUGUAGUUUUUUUUUUUUUUUAAAUAUUAAAUGAGAGAUAACAGAUAGUAAGGAAGAAGAACUGAAAUAGGAGAGCCUGCUGAGAAGUAGUCAGAGUGUGUUGACUGUUGCCAGGGAACUCUGUAGAGGAUUCUGAAGUGGAGAUACCCAGUAGCCCUAAGCAAAGGGGUAAGGCUUAGGGCUGAAAACAGGGCGAUCUGUUGAAAGCCUAUAAAUGGAGCAGCUGAACCUCCACAGCCCUCCCUGGCUUCACAUUGCCUAUCUCCUUCCCUACACCCACAUGGAAUGGGGACAUAGGACAUUUCAGUAUCUCUAACACUUUCUUUUAAGUGAAUCUGAAUUAUUUUCUUUAUUCUUAAGAGGUUUUCUGCAGGCACGCUGGAUAAAACAGCUUCAUUUUUAACCCAUUCCAAAUUUUCACUUCAGUAUUGAGAUACCUUGAAAUCAAGCUGCCCUGGCUGUCACAUCAAGAUUCUGAUAUUUAAUAGCUAUGGAGCUCUGAGACUGUUUUCUCAUCCUUACAAUGCAAAUAAUAUUAUGAGAAAUUGCUGGGGUUGUUGAGAGGAAUAAAGGAGAAAAUCCAUGUACAAUCAUUUAGCCCAGUGCCUGUUGUGCUACCCCGGCAGGGAACAGGAUUAGAAGGUCAUCAGUUUGCAGCCAUCAAUAUAAUGGUUGACUCAGGUGAGACUCAUCAGUGGAUGUGAAAACCAUAGUAUGAAAACUGGUUGGGGAACUGAAUAUUUGCACAGUGUCAGAGUGUCACUUCUUGAUUGCUCAUAAACUAUUAAAAUGAAAAAAUAUGGAAUAAAAAAGUGAUACAAUAAAAAAUAUGGAGGACACCAUCCUGGUAACGGAAUCAAACUUUUAAUUACAAAUAAUGGGACUAACUGAUGAUAAGUAUCUCCUGAUGGGAUAUACUGGAAAGGAAUAAUAUCAUCUAUAAAUAUUCCUACCCCAAAUUCAUAAUCUGAAUUUAAUCAGGAAGAAAUAAUAAGACACAUUUUUAUCUGAAUAAUAAAUAUUUCUUAUUUUAAAUAUUUAUUUAAAUAUUUCUUAUUUUAAAUAUUUAUUUAAAUAUUUCUUAUUUUAAAUAUUUAUUUAAAUAUUUCUUAUUUUAAAUAAUAAAACAGUGGGUAUGAAUUCUCUAAAAAUGUUAAUUUUACCAAACACCACUCCAAAAUAGAUGGAGAAACUUUUCUAGAUUACAGGAUGAUAAAGAGAUCUGACAAGUAAAUGUGAUGCAUUAGAUACUGUAUUAAUAAAGAUACUCUAUUAACAAAAACAAAACCAGAAAACAUCAUUGGGUCAACUGGGGAAAUCUGAAUAUAAACUGAAUGUUAGAUAUAUUACUGUAUUAAUGCCAAGUUUCUUGAGUAUGAUACUGCUCUUGUGCUUAUAUAAGAAAAUGUCCUUUUUCUUAGGGUAUAUAUGUCGCAUUUGGAA